AAGGGAAGCAAAAGGCUGGGAUUCACUUCAGAUGGUGAUAGCACCAGCAGUCCUGCAUCUGGGACCUAAUGAAGAUGGAUAACUGCUGAGUUCUGCAGCUUUGUAAGCUGGCUGGAUUAACCUUUGUGAUAGUCAAGCAAUACAUAUUCAAGCUCACUGUACCUGUUCCCUGUAGGGAAAAUUGUUCCACCUGCCAGAAACCUCAGGAUUUUCAUCUCAUUUUCAUCUUCUCAAGGAAAACAUUUCAGGUAUUGACUCGUUACGGCACUGAUUCAGUAAAUCUGUGUAGUCUGAGAUUCUGUCCGUAGAUGGUUGUCCUUGUCUUCUCAAGUUGUCCAACAAAAGAGUGUUUGAAGCUGUGCAGAAGUAGUGUGAAACAGAUUUGGCUAUUCUAGAGGUCUGCAAGGUGUCCUGUCAGGGAGGCUCACUUUUGGGUGCCCAUCCCUAACAAGUACAUAUGUUGCUGAUAAAAUAGCAGAAGUGUAGAUCGAG
rnacentral:lncRNA from 1 species